rnacentral:rRNA from 1 species
AUACGUAGGGGGCGAGCGUUGUCCGGAAUGAUUGGGCGUAAAGGGCGCGUAGGCGGCCCGGUAAGUCUGGAGUGAAAGUCCUGUUUUUAAGAUGGGAAUUGCUUUGGAUACUGUCGGGCUUGAGUGCAGGAGAGGUAAGUAGAAUUCCCAGUGUAGCGGUGAAAUGCGUAGAGAUUGGGAGGAACACCAGUGGCGAAGGCGACUUACUGGACUGUAACUGACGCUGAGGCGCGAAAGUGUGGGGAGCAAACAGGAUUAGAUACCCUGGUAGUCCACACUGUAAACGAUGAAUGCUAGGUGUAGGGGGUAUCGACCCCUUCUGUGCCGCAGUCAACACAAUAAGCAUUCCGCCUGGGGAGUACGGCCGCAAGGUUGAAACUCAAAUGAAUUGACGGGG